rnacentral:lncRNA from 1 species
GCGGAGAGCUACAAACUGGCGCGCGGGGCUAUAAAAUGCCGUGUGACGUUCUUCUCGACGGAACUUCUCGCAGGGACGUGCGCUGGAGAACGCGGCCGCGUGUCUGCGAUAAGUUCCCACCACCACCUCCCGCCCCCACGGCGCGACUACCCGCCUGGAUGUCGACGUCCGCUGGAAGGGAGUGAGUUCUCGGUGGUCGCAGUAAUUGCGUAUUUGUAUAUAAAGUAUCGCUAUUGUAAAUAGUCCAUCGCCCAUUGUACAUAGCCAUAGUCAUGAAAUUAAACUUAAUAAAUUAUUGUCGAAUUGUGCAGUCCAUAAUUUUAUUGUCGCUAAGCGGCCGCCAUCUUGGAAGGCUUAGCGUAGUUAAAACAUGGCGUCGUUCGGAUCCUCUUUAGGCCUAACACUUACGCGUCGUACGACUGAUGUUGCGUCAUCUCAAACUGCAGCUUGUUGUCCUAAUGAUCGCAUUUCUUUGCUGGUUCGUGCAAUGCUGAAAUUCAUUGUUGUACUGCUUUUCGCCCAAAUUUUAACUCUUCGCGUCGUUGCGGCCACUUACUUGCAUUUCUUUUGUCUGUAGGUGACUAUGAUCGAGUGCAGGGUAAAGGGUUCACACAGUCGUCGCUACGGUUAAUUUGAAGAAUGGAUUACUUGCUUGGUUUGCAAUAGAUAUCCCAAGCAGAAGAGACCUACCAGCGCCCUUUCGUUUUAAAUGACUUGCGUUUCAGGAUAGAGGCUUUCAUGAGUGACCACCAAGGGAACAACGAUAAUUAAGCAAGUGAACGCACAGACCCCAGCGGUUCAAAAGGAUCGCCGGAAAAUGAGCGCAUUUGAAAUGUCGACUUCACUGCACUACCAUGAUCGCUGCACGUCGGCCACGCUGUCUCCAUUUCACUCCAAACUUCACUGGGUUUGCCCGUUCCUUUUUCUAGUUUUGGCAUGGCAUAGAUUAAUCCUCGACUGAUUUGCUCAUAGCAUGGUUACAGCUGUUCAUCUGUUUACCCAUUGUAAUUGCCAGUUCAUUAUGUUCGAGGCUUGCUGUUAUCCUUAUACAAUUUGCGUUAAGCAGGCAUAAUUUUGCAUAAGUUAAUUUCACACAUUAAUGGUUGCCAUUGCCACUUCAUAAAUAAGGUGAAUUAUUCGAAAAAUCUGAUGCUUGCAUUUUGCUUCCGAUUUUUCUUUCCCAUUUCUAUAGCUCCACCAAGGUCAGUGUUCAAAAAAAAAAAAAAAGGAAAUCUCCACAGCACUUCACUCAAAGAAAGCCCAAGCAGGAUAUUGAAAACAAGAAAGCAUUUUCAAGGGAAAAGUUCUGGGUUUGACGUUUCACUUGAGCCUACAGAAGCCACUGCAGUUUCAAAGGAAAGCAACACUGAAGCAGGCGGUUAAAGUUCAAAGCUAUGAAGCAUAGAUCGUCUCGACCCUCUCAACUCCUAGCAAGUUAAUGGGACUUCACGUGGGUUGCAAGUUAAGUAUGUUUUCGCUUGGAAGAGUUUGGUAUUAAAAGUUAUGUUCAAGUUCACGUAUUCAAGCUUUGAAGUAUACAGUGCCGAAUUCUCAAGCUGCACAUUGGAGUUUGUGCAUACAAGCUAGAAGUGUAGUGUCCAGUUUUCAAGUUGAGUGUGCUCAAGCUAUGAAGUAUACAGUGCCCAAUUAUGAAGUUGCACAUUCAAGUUAGUGCAUUCAAGCAAAGUAUCCAGUUUACAAGUUUGUACACAAGCUAUGAAGUUGCACAUUGAAGUUAGUGCAUUCAAGCAUUUUCAAGUUUCCUGUUCAAGUUAGCAAAGUAUACAGUGCCCAGGUUGCAGUAUGUUCAAGCUGUGAUGUGCCGUUCAUGUAUUCAAGCUGCAAAAAUACAUUGUCCAAGUUUGAAGAAAUUUUUUAUCAAGCUCUGAAGUAGGACCUUUCACAUACAAGCAUGAAGUAGCCAAAGUUCCAAGAUUUGCCAUUCAAGUUGAAGGGGGGUGGGGGGUGACUUACGAAGGAAUUUACUUAUGCAUACAGCCCAAGAAAUCUGAGAGCAAGGCAAAGUAGGUUGUUCGUCUAUCAAGUGCCAAGAUUGACCUCGAAGAAAAGCAGAUUUGCCAGCUAGCAAGUUUCGCCACGUUGCAUUGGAAUUGGUUUGCUCUUUUUAUAUCUUAUGUAGGAUUUGCUAACGUAAUUACUUGUGCUGCUUUAGGCUAUUGAAGCGAAUUUGUGUAGUGUUUUGGUACUCAGAUCAAUUGCAGCAGCACAUAACUCGGUGCUAGGCACAAAGCCCAAGAGUUGGAGGCUCAAGCACGUUUGUUUUGCAGGUAUUCGUGGUCGAGGCCAGACAAGAUUAGUGUCUAUUGGGAUGGCCUUUAAUGAGAUCAAGGAAUCUUGCAUUAACAUCCAACUGUGGGUGUUCGGGCGUAGGUCCUGACAAUUUCGCGCCCCCAUGGUUCACAGGUAUCCGUGAGUUCUGUCCUGCCUUGUCGUUUCCCUGUAAUAAUCCUGCGCUCAAUUGUUUUAUUUACGUGAGUUUCGUCGACGUCUUAACUAGUGCUCGCAAAUCAUUUCCCCCCUUUUGUUUUCUCUCACUGCGUUUCUGGAAAGCUCAUUUUUCGGCCAAAUCUUGCUCCUUCUGUAGCAUGUCGUGUAGAUUUGCUCUUAGCGGGGGUGGGAAGGGGCGUGUUGUAUGCUUUGCUUUUGAGCCAUUGCAGCUAACUAGGUACUACACCUCGCACACCUCACCCGGAUGACAUAGACCUUCCUAGUGACACCAACACUGCUGCGACUCUUAUUCACGUGGUUCACCGUGGCCUGGAGCCCCUGCAUUUGCUUUCUUCCAUUCUGCCUGGUGCGCCGUGAUCUUGUUUUCAUUGUCUUAAGCUGCACGGAAAGCCUUUAGUAAGCCGUUUGUGAAUGGGGGUUUUGGUUCUUCCUUUAUAAUUGCACGGAUUGUUGCACAUAACGACCAACUGCAAAUUGUGCAAGAGCUUUGCUUGUUUUUCGGAUUGGGUAUUGCAACGCUUUAUGAUGCUUU